AGUGGCAGACGGGUGAGUAACAUGUACCGUAUCUGCCCUUUGGCCUGGAAUAACACGAGGAAACUCGUGCUAAUACCGGAUAAGUCUUUACGGAGAAAGCUUUAUGCACCAUUGGAUGAGCCUGCACUUGAUUAGUUUGUUGGUGGGGUAAUGGCCUACCAAGACUGUGAUCAAUAGCUGAUUUGAGAGGAUGAUCAGCCACAUUGGGACUGAGACACGGCCCAAACUCCUACGGGAGGCAGCAGUGGGGAAUCUUGCACAAUGGAGGAAACUCUGAUGCAGCGAUGCCGCGUGAGUGAAGAAGGCCUUUGGGUUGUAAAGCUCUUUCGUCGGGGAAGAAAAUGACUGUACCCGAAUAAGAAGGUCCGGCUAACUUCGUGCCAGCAGCCGCGGUAAUACGAAGGGACCU
rnacentral:rRNA from 1 species